UGCCAGCAGCCGCGGUAAUACGGAGGGUGCAAGCGUUGUUCGGAAUUACUGGGCGUAAAGGGCGCGUAGGCGGACUAUCAAGUCAGGGGUGAAAGGCCUGGGCUCAACCUGGGAACUGCCUUUGAAACUGAUAGUCUUGAGUCCGGGAGAGGAUGGCGGAAUUCCCAGUGUAGAGGUGAAAUUCGUAGAUAUUGGGAAGAACACCGGUUGCGAAGGCGGCCAUCUGGACCGGCACUGACGCUGAGGCGCGAAAGCGUGGGGAGCAAACAGGAUUAGAUA
rnacentral:rRNA from 1 species